UUAGGCAACAGUAACUAGGAAUUUCUUUAGCUAUAGGCUAGGCUGAGCUAUCAUACAGUACACUCACUGUAAUAGCAAUGGCUAGUCGUGAGCAAGGAACUAUAGAGCAAGCUUCCCUUCAUGAAACUCCUGCACCAGAUGCCAGCAGAGAUGCCACUGAAGCCACACCACUCGUGACAAGUAAUCACGGGAAAUAAUUAUGGCAAGAAUAAAAGUGUGCUGAUCAAGUCAAAGGCUGCAAUAAUGAUUCUUAUUUGGACUGCCUAUGUCUUUCAUAUAUGGUGGUUUUCUGAACCCUGAAAAUUAUUUCUUAUUCACUUACCUAUUUAUGGGCCUGGAAGACCCUACAUCCUUAUCAGGAUUUAACAGUGAGAUGGUGGAUAGUUGCGUAUAUGCUAUAUUUGCAUUCUGGCUCCUCUUCUAUCCUCUAGCCGGAUACUUGGCAGAUGUUCGAUAUGGAAGAUAUAAGGUUGUGAAAUGUGGUGUGUGUACCAUGUGGUGUGGACUCUUGACAGUGGUUAUUCUCGGUGUCGUUGUCAACGCCAUUAUUGUGCCAAUUUUUAUUUUGGCAAGUUAUCCUCAUUACUGGUAUCUAUUAUUAAUAGUCGUGAAUUGUGCACUUGCACUUUUUCUUCUUAUCUCUUUGUUGAUUGCGUUUGCUGCAUUUUUAGCCAAUGUUGUGCAGUUUGGGGUUGACCAGUUAAAUGAUUCUCCUUCUAGAGACAGCUUUCUUUUCACUCAUUGGUUUCUCUUCACACUCUAUAUUGGAAUAAGCUUAGGAAAAUUGGUAUGGAGUUCAGCUUCUGCCUUUGGUUUUUUAAGCCUUUCUAUAUUGAACUUAUCAUGUUAGUUGAGCUGAUUUGUGUACCAGCAACUUUCUGUGUUGCUAAGCGCAGGUGGUUUGUUAUUGACACUGGCAUUGGUAAUCCUUACAAAGAGAUUGCAAGAGUUGUCGGCUUUGCAAGAAGAAACAAGAUUCCUAUUCAACGCAGUGCCUUUACAUUCUGGGAAGAUGACAUACCCACUGGACUGAAUCUAGGCAAGGACAAGUAUGAAGGACCAUUUACUACCGAGCAGGUGGAGAAUGUGAAGUCAUUUUUUGGAAUAUAUUUUCAGUAGGACCAUUUUUUACAGCUGAUAUUGCUGCAGCACCUUUUCUCAGUAUACUUAAAUAUCACAUGAAGCUGAAGACUUCUGUUUGGUCACCUGAUUAUAGUGAUAUAAGCACCCUAAUAGUGGCACACUGUACCCCGUCUUUCUUGUUUGUUCCUAUUUUUCUCAAUUCAUCCUCUGUUUCAAAAGUACUUCCCUGGUAUUCUGAGGCGAAUUGGAAUUGGUCUUUGUCUUAUCACUGUUAGUCUGUUUUGCUCGCUGUUUGUUGAGAUGUUUGGUUACCUCCAUAGCAUAUAUAUAUAAUGCUACUAUUUCAAUGUUUACUAGGUAAGUAAGUAAGUAAGUAAGUUUCUUGCCCAGCAUUUGCUCCAAGUACAGCCAUCUCCAGGACAUUCUUAAUAUAGCGUUUCCAAACGAACACAACCUAUUAAAAAGCAGUUCUUCAGAUUUCCACGAGGCAGAUGACCUCUCAGGCUCUACUUCUCUUACCUAGAAAACUUUGCCAUCUUUAAUGACUCAGCAAUAAUAGCUAGGCGUGCAUGGCUGAGAAACUGUGAGUGAGCUCAGCUCUUUUGAUCCCAUUUCUCAGGUAUAUAUAUAUAUGCACUGACUAGAUAUCAUAGGCAAAUAGGCCUCCAUGCUCUUGAAAUACAGUAGAUUUACUAAAUGACAGCCAUUUUAAUUACUGCUUGACGCACAAAUUCAUUAUACAGCAAUAAUAUUCCUGUCUUCUCUUCUGGAACUUCUGUACUGCUUCCUGAGUGACGUUCCACUUAUGCAUGUCAUGGUACGUAAAUGUGUUUCUGUACUGAAAAAGAAAGGGAAUCUGACUAUAUAGAAAACAUUUGCAAUGUGAAAAAUUGCUAGGAUUGGCCAGGAGAAACACCAAAAGCGUGGGAACAAGUCUAGUGUAUGUAUGUUUGUGCGAUGUUUGUAUGUAUGUGUCGUACGUAUGUGUCGUACGUCGCUCGAUUGAUUCAAACAAAACUUACGAUUUACCUCCUUCAAGGAAGUUAAUGGAUCUACAUACAUCAGUCUAUGCGAGUGAAGCUUCGCUCGCCUUCAAUAAAAGUGAUGGUGUUUUUCUGCGUGCAUGUUUGUCGUGUUGUGGGCUCCUCUAUAAUAAUAAUUACACAAUUAAAUUGAUCUACUGAUUAGAUAAACAAAAGCUAUAUUGUUUGUUUUGGGAGACUGGGCAUUUCUUUAGGUAGCUAUGUACUUAUUGUAAAUCAAUGGCUAGUUGUGAGCAAAGAACUAUAGAGCAAGCUUCCCUUCAUGAAACUCCUGCACUCGAUGCCAGCAGAGAUGCCACUGAAGCUACACCACUCGUGACAAGUAAUCGCAGGAAAUAUGGCAACAAGGAAAGUGUGCUAAUCAAGUCAAAGGCUCCAAUAAUGAUUCUGUGUUGGACAGUGUUAACCCUUUCCCCGUUGAAGCCGUCAUAUGACGGCCACUCUAGUGGUCAUUUUCAAAAAUUCGUUGUGCCCACUGUGUUGGAGCUAUGCACACACUGUAGGUACCAGCACAUGCGCAUUGAGCUGCUCUUUCACGUGGUAUCUUUAAUAUGCUGCCUCGAGGUACCCUUUGUACAGUAAUGUCGAAAGAAAAGUGACCGUUUGAUAAUGUUUCAAGAUCUUUGUAGUACAAUCUCAGUGAGGUUCUAAAGUAGCUAGACAGUGAGAAUAUCGAUGCUUAUGGCCUUGUUGAGUGAGAGGACUGUGACUGGGAUCGUAGCUAGAUAAAAAGCUACCUCAAGCUAGAAAAUAUAGAGCCUGAAGGCCUGAGGAAGAAGCUCUUGCGAUGGAACAACUUCUUGGAUCUGGUGAAGAAAACAUUUCCCGGGAAAAGGGCGUCUGCUGAUACGACCUCGCAGAAAACUUUCUGCAGAUCCUGAUUGAACCAUGUCACCGUGAGAACAUUGAGAACACUUAUUUAGUGUCUUUAGCCACUCUGUGCCUUCAUACAAUAUUAUUUGUGUACAUAGUUGUGAAUGUUUGUAAACAAUUGCUAAUUAGUGGGGGUGGUCAGUUGCUAGGUAACGAAGAUGUUGUCAAGAUAUCUCUGAGGUCUGCGCUACCUGUAGGAAAUAGUUACAAGUCAUUUCAAUGUAUGGUUCAUGACAUACAAAUUUUUAAAGAAAAUUGUUAUUUAUUCUG